UACAGAGGGUGCGAGCGUUAAUCGGAAUUACUGGGCGUAAAGCGUGUGUAGGCGGCCUGUUAAGUCGGGUGUGAAAGCCCCGGGCUCAACCCGGGAAGUGCAUUCGAUACUGGCAGGCUUGAGUACGGGAGAGGGUCGCGGAAUUCCCGGUGUAGAGGUGAAAUUCGUAGAUAUCGGGAGGAACACCAGUGGCGAAGGCGGCGACCUGGACCGAGUACUGACGCUGAG
rnacentral:rRNA from 1 species